rnacentral:lncRNA from 10 species
UACCCUAGAAGGACUCAGAAUGGGGGGUGGAGUCAUGGACUGUUCUUCAUUUUCAGUAUGCUGAAUGAUUUUUCUGAUCAUGGAUAAUCAGAAAAACAGUAAUGCUGAAGACUAGCUGAGAGUAGGCCUGGCAGGAACUGUGUGAGCUAAAGGAGAAGAGGAAGACAUGAGACUUGGACUGUGGUUAAAUGGGUCCCUCUCCUGGCUAAUACAUAUGGAAGCAGGCACCUU